CCUACGGGUGGCAGCAGUAGGGAAUUUUCGUCAAUGGGGGGAACCCUGAACGAGCAAUGCCGCGUGAGUGAAGAAGGUCUUCGGAUCGUAAAGCUCUGUUGUAAGAGAAAAACGGGUAUCAUAGGGAAUGAUGAUAUCGUGAUGGUAUCUUACCAGAAAGCCACGGCUAACUACGUGCCAGCAGCCGCGGUAAUACGUAGGUGGCAAGCGUUAUCCGGAUUUAUUGGGUUUAAAGGGUGCGUAGGCUGGGAGGUUAGUCAGCGGUGAAAUGCCCCCGCUCAACGGGGUGAAGUGCCAUUGAUACUGCCUUGCUGGAAUGCGGAUGCCGUGGGAGGAAUGUGUGGUGUAGCGGUGAAAUGCAUAGAUAUCACACAGAACACCGAUUGCGAAGGCAUCUCACGAAUCCGCGAUUGACGCUGAUGCACGAAAGCGUGGGUAUCAAACAGGAUUAGAUACCCCGGUAGUC
rnacentral:rRNA from 1 species